GUUCUGUGAAGUAGUGUGAUGAGUUAAGGGAGUGGGGGCAAGUUAAGACUUUGAUGCAGAGUGAUUCUUGAUGCUUGACGCGGGAUGAUUCUUGAUGCCGAGAUAUUGGGAACUGGUGCGGAGUGUGGUUGAGAAUUGGUGCAAAAUCAUUCCUCUCCACUGAUGUAGAGUGAAGGGUCUCUAAUAUGAAACAAAGUGAAGAGGGAAUGAGGAGAUUGCAGAAGAAUCUACAGAAUGAAGCAGAUGAAACAAAGUGAAGAUGAAGUGAGGAAAUUCCAGAAUGAGGAUUGAAGUGUGAAGAGUGAAGAGUUCUGAGGAGUGAAGAGUGAAGAAUUUUUGUUUGUGUGAAAAUGAUCCCUCCCCUAUCAAUCACAGUAAGUCUCUUUUUAUAGUUUUCCAAAAUUCUGUUAUGAAAUUCAAUGCGAAAUUAAAUUGAAAUUCAUGUUCAAAUUAGUUAGUUAGAAACUCAUAAUUUAGUUGGAGUUAAAUUCAAAUGAAAUGAAAAUUUUAAUUCAUUCUUCCCUUUUGAGAUGCAUAUUCUGUUAGUCACACGUUGAGAUGAAAAUUAACUUGAAAUUAUCAAUUAGUUAGUGUAAGACCCCAAUUUUGACCCUAAGGUCCCUCAUGCUAUCUCAUCAUAU
rnacentral:lncRNA from 1 species